rnacentral:rRNA from 1 species
UUUGGUUAAGUUAGAAAGGGCGCACGGUGGAUGCCUUGACACUAGGAGUCGAUGAAGGACGGGACUAACGCCGAUAUGCUUCGGGGAGCUGUAAGUAAGCUUUGAUCCGAAGAUUUCCGAAUGGGGAAACCCACCAUACGUAAUGGUAUGGUAUCCUUAUCUGAAUACAUAGGGUAAGGAAGACAGACCCAGGGAACUGAAACAUCUAAGUACCUGGAGGAAGAGAAAGCAAAUGCGAUUUCCUGAGUAGCGGCGAGCGAAACGGAACAUAGCCCAAACCAAGAGGCUUGCCUCUUGGGGUUGUAGGACAUUCUAUACGGAGUUACAAAGGAACGAGGUAGACGAAGCGAUCUGGAAAGGUCCGUCGUAGAGGGUAACAACCCCGUAGUCGAAACUUCGUUCUCUCUUGAAUGUAUCCUGAGUACGGCGGAACACGUGAAAUUCCGUCGGAAUCUGGGAGGACCAUCUCCCAAGGCUAAAUACUCCCUAGUGAUCGAUAGUGAACCAGUACCGUGAGGGAAAGGUGAAAAGCACCCCGGAAGGGGAGUGAAAGAGAUCCUGAAACCGUGUGCCUACAAAUAGUCAGAGCCCGUUAACGGGUGAUGGCGUGCCUUUUGUAGAAUGAACCGGCGAGUUACGAUCCCGUGCGAGGUUAAGCUGAAGAGGCGGAGCCGCAGCGAAAGCGAGUCUGAAUAGGGCGUUUAGUACGUGGUCGUAGACCCGAAACCAGGUGAUCUACCCAUGUCCAGGGUGAAGUUCAGGUAACACUGAAUGGAGGCCCGAACCCACGCACGUUGAAAAGUGCGGGGAUGAGGUGUGGGUAGCGGAGAAAUUCCAAUCGAACCUGGAGAUAGCUGGUUCUCCCCGAAAUAGCUUUAGGGCUAGCCUUAAGUGUAAGAGUCUUGGAGGUAGAGCACUGAUUGGACUAGGGGUCCUCAUCGGAUUACCGAAUUCAGUCAAACUCCGAAUGCCAAUGACUUAUCCUUAGGAGUCAGACUGCGAGUGAUAAGAUCCGUAGUCAAAAGGGAAACAGCCCAGACCGCCAGCUAAGGUCCCAAAGUGUGUAUUAAGUGGAAAAGGAUGUGGAGUUGCUUAGACAACUAGGAUGUUGGCUUAGAAGCAGCCACCAUUUAAAGAGUGCGUAAUAGCUCACUAGUCGAGUGACUCUGCGCCGAAAAUGUACCGGGGCUAAAUACACCACCGAAGCUGCGGAUUGAUACCAAUGGUAUCAGUGGUAGGGGAGCGUUCUAAGGACAGUGAAGUCAGACCGGAAGGACUGGUGGAGUGCUUAGAAGUGAGAAUGCCGGUAUGAGUAGCGAAAGACGGGUGAGAAUCCCGUCCACCGAAUGCCUAAGGUUUCCUGAGGAAGGCUCGUCCGCUCAGGGUUAGUCAGGACCUAAGCCGAGGCCGACAGGCGUAGGCGAUGGACAACAGGUUGAUAUUCCUGUACCACCUCUUUAUCGUUUGAGCAAUGGAGGGACGCAGAAGGAUAGAAGAAGCGUGCGAUUGGUUGUGCACGUCCAAGCAGUUAGGCUGAUAAGUAGGCAAAUCCGCUUAUCGUGAAGGCUGAGCUGUGAUGGGGAAGCUCCUUAUGGAGCGAAGUCUUUGAUUCCCCGCUGCCAAGAAAAGCUUCUAGCGAGAUAAAAGGUGCCUGUACCGCAAACCGACACAGGUAGGCGAGGAGAGAAUCCUAAGGUGUGCGAGAGAACUCUGGUUAAGGAACUCGGCAAAAUGACCCCGUAACUUCGGGAGAAGGGGUGCUUUCUUAACGGAAAGCCGCAGUGAAUAGGCCCAAGCGACUGUUUAGCAAAAACACAGCUCUCUGCGAAGCCGUAAGGCGAAGUAUAGGGGGUGACACCUGCCCGGUGCUGGAAGGUUAAGGAGAGGGGUUAGCGUAAGCGAAGCUCUGAACUGAAGCCCCAGUAAACGGCGGCCGUAACUAUAACGGUCCUAAGGUAGCGAAAUUCCUUGUCGGGUAAGUUCCGACCCGCACGAAAGGUGUAACGAUUUGGGCACUGUCUCAACCAGAGACUCGGUGAAAUUAUAGUACCUGUGAAGAUGCAGGUUACCCGCGACAGGACGGAAAGACCCCGUGGAGCUUUACUGUAGCCUGAUAUUGAAUUUUGGUACAGUUUGUACAGGAUAGGCGGGAGCCAUUGAAACCGGAGCGCUAGCUUCGGUGGAGGCGCUGGUGGGAUACCGCCCUGACUGUAUUGAAAUUCUAACCUACGGGUCUUAUCGACCCGGGAGACAGUGUCAGGUGGGCAGUUUGACUGGGGCGGUCGCCUCCUAAAGUGUAACGGAGGCGCCCAAAGGUUCCCUCAGAAUGGUUGGAAAUCAUUCGUAGAGUGCAAAGGCAUAAGGGAGCUUGACUGCGAGACCUACAAGUCGAGCAGGGACGAAAGUCGGGCUUAGUGAUCCGGUGGUUCCGCAUGGAAGGGCCAUCGCUCAACGGAUAAAAGCUACCCCGGGGAUAACAGGCUUAUCUCCCCCAAGAGUCCACAUCGACGGGGAGGUUUGGCACCUCGAUGUCGGCUCAUCGCAUCCUGGGGCUGUAGUCGGUCCCAAGGGUUGGGCUGUUCGCCCAUUAAAGCGGUACGCGAGCUGGGUUCAGAACGUCGUGAGACAGUUCGGUCCCUAUCCGUCGUGGGCGUAGGAAAUUUGAGAGGAGCUGUCCUUAGUACGAGAGGACCGGGAUGGACGCACCGCUGGUGUACCAGUUGUUCUGCCAAGGGCAUAGCUGGGUAGCUAUGUGCGGAAGGGAUAAGUGCUGAAAGCAUCUAAGCAUGAAGCCCCCCUCAAGAUGAGAUUUCCCAUAGCGUAAGCUAGUAAGAUCCCUGAAAGAUGAUCAGGUUGAUAGGUUCGAGGUGGAAGCAUGGUGACAUGUGGAGCUGACGAAUACUAAUAGAUCGAGGACUUAACCAUAUAA